rnacentral:rRNA from 1 species
CAGCCGCCGCGGGAAUACGAAGGUCCCGAACGUUGUUCGGAAUCACUGGGCGUAAAGGGAGCGUAGGCGGCGUGGUAAGUCAGAUGUGAAAUCCCGGGGCUCAACCCCGGAACUGCAUCCGAUACUGCCAUGCUAGAGGAUUGGAGAGGUAGCUGGAAUUCUUGGUGUAGCAGUGAAAUGCGUGGAGAUCAAGAGGAACACUCGUGGCGAAAGCGAGCUACUGGACAAUAACUGACGCUGAGGCUCGAAGGCCAGGGUAGCGAAAGGGAUUAGAUACCCCAGUAGUCCCUGUCUCUUAUAC